rnacentral:rRNA from 1 species
GUCCACGCCCUAAACGAUGUCGACUAGGUGUUCGGGAAGGAGACUUCUUGAGUACCGCAGCUAACGCGUGAAGUCGACCGCCUGGGGAGUACGGUCGCAAGAUUAAAACUCAAAGGAAUUGACGGGGACCCGCACAAGCGGUGGAUGAUGUGGAUUAAUUCGAUGCAACGCGAAAACCUUACCUACCCUUGACAUGCCUGGAACCCUGGUGAGAGCUAGGGGUGCCUUCGGGAGCCAGGACACAGGUGCUGCAUGGCUGUCGU